CUGAGAAACGCUACUACAUCUACGGAAGGCAGCAGGCGCGUAAAUUACCCAAUCCUGACUCAGGGAGGUGGUGACAAGAUAUAACACCGCCCAAUCAUUGUGAUUGUAGUGAGGGUAUUCCAAACCGAACCACUAGUACGAUUAGAGGG
rnacentral:rRNA from 1 species